CCAUUGCUUGAAGGCAGUGGUUUUCAUUCCUGGUUCUGGGGACCCACUGCUUUGCACAUUUCGUGUGUCUUCCUUAUUUAAAACACCUAAUUCAGAUCAUCAGCUUGUUAGGAGAGAGAUCCUUUUAAUGAACUGAGUGUGUCAGACAAGAGAGACAUACACAAUGUGCAGAACAGUGGGUCAGCAGGCCCAGGAUUGAAAACCACUGCUCUAGAGUUCUGCAGAGAAACUUACUUGCAUGUCUCAGACAGGUCCAGAGUGCAAACCUGGUUGCCUGUUAUCCUCACUUCCUAGAGAAGAUCUGGAAGAGUACAGGCAGACUUUCAAUUAGUUCCUCUACGCUGCCAUGGUAGAGACUGGCUGGCACCGAAAACUCCUCGAAGUUGCCGCUCAGCAGAGUGAGGCUGUCCGUGCCAUCAGAGACACCCACAAUCUCCACCACAAAUGCCUUGAGGUGUGUGAGCUCCACAUCGUCUCCGAUGUAGAGGUCACUCAGGGCCUCGUCGCGCCAAAGUGAAACUUCCAGGACAUUCUGGCCACAUCUAAGGUGCAGGUCCAAGAUGGGGACAUAGGCCUCCUGGACCUUUGUCAUUCUCGCUUCUUGUACCUGCAGAAUAAGAGGCCAACAGGUAAAUCAUACUCAUUCAGAAUGUUACAGUCACUGUUUCUUUUUACUAAUUUAAAAUUCUAUUACUCAUUCUGGUGGCUUCAGAUUCUUCAGCUCUUCACACAAAGACUUGAUAACUGUUGUUAAACCAGUUGCAUAAAUGAAAAUAACUGUAAUGGAACUGUUUGACUGGGAAGUGUUGGAUGGCAAACAGCAGAGCAGACUAAAUAAAACUGCUUAAUGUUGAGCUGUUUGUUAAGAGUUAAUAUGGGUGAGUAAUUAAGUGUUGUUGUUGUUGUUGUUGUGUGUUUUUUUUGUUUUAUUUUUUUCUUCCAUCUUAAUUUAAGCAACAGAGUAAUACAGAAUAACAGCAUUAAAAUAACUCACUUUUUCAACUUGGCCAUGGAUGGUCAAGUAGUCCCCCCUGGAAAAGAUGUCCUCCUCUUCUCCAGUGAUGGGAUGGGAUGGUGGACAAAGGAUGUCUUUUGCAGCCUUUUCAGCUGCAUCCGAUAAGGCAAGUGGUGCUGCCCUGAAUUUGGUCGAUGUCCGACCAAAAUAUAUAUUUUGGCGGCCAUACAUGGCACUAAAUGUUCCCUGACUACUUGUUGUGUAGACGUUUGUGCCAUCGGAUAGGGCAGUAACCGUUUUCAAGUGAAAUGAUUCUAUUUUUAUUUUGUCCCCUUUAUAAUGGUAAGAGACGGCUUUCUUAGUGGUCCUGUUUGCCACACACUUGCAGCGAAUAGGUGCUGGCCGUGUGUAUGGACUUGGAGUUGCCAUCCUGAGGGUAAGAGAAAAAUGCACAAAAUACUUAAGAAUAUACAAAGUAUGUAUAUUUAUACAGUACCAGUUACAAUUUUAAAUAUUUAUUGUGAAUUCAAGAUUUACCUCAGAAAAUGAG